AAAUUUUGUUUGUUUAUUGUUUGGUAUUGCAUAUCAUUUAAGGAAAAUUUUAUAAAUAAUAAAUAAUAAAAUUGGCGGGUAGAAAAAUUUAUUAUUUUUGUUGUUUCAUAAUAAGAAUUAUAAUUUUUAGGGUUGAAAAGUCGACCACCAGGAUAUUUGUGUUGUUUUUGAAAUUAGAAAGUUAUUGUGUUUAAAUAUAUAUUAUUAUAAAAAGUAAGAGUUGAAGUAUCUUUUUUUUUAGUUUUAUAACGGUUUAUAUUUGUAUAUAGUGGAUUAUUGAAGUAUAUAAUAAUGUUUUAUUAUGUAAUUUAUUUUAAAAUUAGUAGUAAAGUUUAUAAAUUAAAUUUUUAUGUUAAAUAUAAUUAAAAAACUCAAAAAUUAAUUAAAUGUUUUUUAAAGACUUAGACUUUUUUAUAAAGUUUGCUUCUGCCCAGUGAUAUAAAAUUAAAUGGCAGUCUUAGCGUGAGGACAUUAAGGUAGCAAAAUAAUUUGUGCUUUUAUUGAGUUCCAGUAUGAAUGAAGUUAUUGGUUAAUUUAUUUUUUAAUUUUUAAAUGAAUUUUAAUUAAUAUAAAAAAGUAUUGUUAUAAUAAAACAAAGAUAAGUCUUCGAAAAUUCUUUUUUAAAAUUAAUAAAAAUUAGUUUUAAAAAUUUUCUAGGGCAGAAUUUUAUAUAAUUAUAAUAUCUAUUAUUAAUUUAAGGAAUUACUUCGGAGUUAACAGAAAAUCAUAUCUAAUCUAGUUCUUAUAGUAAGAUAAGUUUUACAUCGAUGUUGUAUUUAAGUUUAUUAAAAAAGGAGAAGAUUUAAAUUUUAAGACUGUUCUUCUUUUAAUUAAUUUAACGUGAUAUUAGUUUAAUUCAUUGUGAGAUAGAAUUGUUUAUCUUGUUUAUUAUUUUUGUAGAAUUUUAAUAGUACGAAAGGAAAAUUAAAAAAAGUUUUAAACUUUUGAAGGACUUAGGGUUCA
rnacentral:rRNA from 1 species